AGCAGUAGCCGCGGGAAAACGGAGGGUGCAAGCGUUAUCCGGAUUUAUUGGGUUUAAAGGGUCCGUAGGCGGACUUAUAAGUCAGUGGUGAAAGCCUGUCGCUUAACGAUAGAACUGCCAUUGAUACUGUAAGUCUUGAGUAUAUUUGAGGUAGCUGGAAUAAGUAGUGUAGCGGUGAAAUGCAUAGAUAUUACUUAGAACACCAAUUGCGAAGGCAGGUUACCAAGAUAUAACUGACGCUGAGGGACGAAAGCGUGGGUAGCGAACAGGAUUAGAUACCCCUGUAGUCCCUGUCUCUUAUAC
rnacentral:rRNA from 1 species